CUUAACCACAGUGUUCGCUGGACUCAGGAGCACUCCUUAUACGAAUUUCACUGUAACAGCCAUAGACUGUGCCAGUGCAGACUGGAAAGUUACCAACUCAUCAAUCAAAGCAAAGAUUGAAGGCUUGUUCUCGAACGGAAGCGCCUAUAAUGGAUCUAACGUUCAUGUCAGUGAUGGACGUGAAAAUGUGUCGUUUACUGGACUUUACCCUGGUGCCACCUAUAACAUCUCUCUUGUCUAUGAAAAGUCUUCCAGAGUUUUCCUGCAGUGUGAACACAAAUUAACAAUUCUUCCUCCUAAUCUAAAUGCUCACUG
ensembl:lncRNA